AAGAAGUUUGCUAAACCUGAACUCGAAUCAUGCAUUGAGGAGUUUGAAGAAAGGUUGAAUAAAUUUGACAUUGAGAGGAAGGAACAAGAACUUACUGCCAAAAAUGCUCAAAGCCAUCAACAGAAAGUGGAGAGCUUGGAGAGAGUAUCGCAGUGACUGAAAAAGAAGAAGAGGAAAUCGGUGAAUCUGAAAUUACUAAAGAAUGUUCACCUUUGGAACCACCAUGUGCUGAGUCGGAAGCAAAUUCUCAUGCUUCCAGUGAGGUUCCACUAGAUCCUGAGCUAACAACAGCAGUAAAAGUGAUCAAAAUCUUGAUACUUCAAAUUCCACUACAUCCAGAGCUAAGAACAGCAGCAAAAGUGAUCAAAAUCUUGAUUCUUCCAAUUCCACUAGAAGAAUAACCAGGUUCUGGCGAAGGUCCUAGA